UCGUCAGCUCGUGUCGGAGAUGUUGGUUAAAUCCCGCAACGAGCGCAACCCUUGCCUUUAGUUCCAGCAUUAAGUUGGGCACUCUAGAUGGACUGCCGAGGACAACUCGGAGGAAGGUGGGGGUGACGUCAAAUCAUCAUGCCCCUUAUCUUAGGGCUACACACGUGCUACAAUGGGCAUACAGAGGGUUGCAAGCCGUGAGGUGGAGGUAAUCCCUUAAAGCCAUUCUCAGUUCGGAUUGUAGGCUGAAACUCGCCUACAUGAAGCUGGAGUUACUAGUAAUCGCAGGUCAGAAUGCUGCGGGGAAAGCGUUCCCGGGUCUUGUACACCCCGCCCGUCACCCCAUGGGAGUUGGGGGCGCCCGAAACCGGUUAGCUAACCCUUUAGGAGGCAACCGUCGAAGGCGGAGCCAAUGACUGGGGUGAAGUCGUAACAAGGUAGCCGUA
rnacentral:rRNA from 1 species